rnacentral:rRNA from 1 species
GACGAACGCUGGCGGCGUGCUUAACACAUGCAAGUCGAACGGGCUCUGUCUGGCUGUGUGCUGGGUGGGGUUAGUGGCGAACGGGUGAGUAAUACGUGAGUAACCUGCCCUCUUCUUUGGGAUAAGCCUUGGAAACGGGGUCUAAUACUGGAUAUUCCUGUCUGGUCGCAUGGCUGGGUGGGGAAAGUUUUUUUCGGUGGGGGAUGGGCUCGCGGCCUAUCAGCUUGUUGGUGGGGUGAUGGCCUACCAAGGCGUCGACGGGUAGCCGGCCUGAGAGGGUGACCGGCCCCACUGGGACUGCGAUACGGCCCAGACUCCUACGGGAGGCAGCAGUGGGGGAUAUUGCACAAUGGGCGCAAGCCUGAUGCAGCGACGCCGCGUGGGGGAUGACGGCUUUCGGGUUGUAAACCUCUUUCGUCGGGGGACAAGGCUCUGCUUGGUGGUGGGGUUGAGGGUACCCGGUGAAGAAGCGCCGGCUAACUACGUG